GACGAACGCUGGCGGCGUGCUUAACACAUGCAAGUCGAACGGAAAGGCCUCUUUCGGGGGGUACUCGAGUGGCGAACGGGUGAGUAACACGUGAGUAACCUGCCCUUGACUUUGGGAUAACUUCAGGAAACUGGGGCUAAUACCGGAUAGGAGCUCCUGCUGCAUGGUGGGGGUUGGAAAGUUUCGGCGGUUGGGUAUGGACUCGCGGCUUAUCAGCUUGUUGGUGGGGUAGUGGCUUACCAAGGCUUUGACGGGUAGCCGGCCUGAGAGGGUGACCGGCCACAUUGGGACUGAGAUACGGCCCAGACUCCUACGGGAGGCAGCAGUGGGGAAUAUUGCACAAUGGGUGGAAGCCUGAUGCAGCAACGCCGUGUGCGGGAUGACGGCCUUCGGGUUGUAAACCGCUUUCGCUCAUGACGAAGCUUUGUGUGACGGUAGUGGGUAAAGAAGCACCGGCUAACUACGUG
rnacentral:rRNA from 1 species